GGGAAUGUGGCUUAGUGGUAGAGUGCUUGCCUAACAUGCAUGAAGCCCUGGGUUUGAUUCCUCAGUUAUCACA
rnacentral:tRNA from 1 species